UACAUAUCACUCGAUCCAGGUGUCUUCACGAUGAAGACUUAAAAGGGAAGCUGGUGUAAAUCCAGCGCGGUCCCGCCACUGUAAAUGGUCGUAAGCUGCAAAAUCCACUGUUCGCUCAGCGAAUGGGAAGGAGCAGCGCGCGUUAACCAUGAGCCAGGAGACCUGCCUGAAUCACAAGCACGAA
rnacentral:ncRNA from 2 species